rnacentral:sRNA from 1 species
CUGCUGCGCACGGGUGCCCCAGCCGCUGCGUGCCUGCGGUUGGGGACCAGUGCAGGGACCGGGUCGCGCCGUGCUAUGGCCCUGUACCACACUGAGGAGCGCGGCCAGCCCUGCUCGCAGAAUUACCGCCUCUUCUUUAAGAAUGUAACUGGUCACUACAUUUCCCCCUUUCAUGAUAUUCCUCUGAAGGUGAACUCUAAAGAGGUAUUGUUUUGACUUGUUUUGGGAAUGAAAACGUGUACUGCCAGUAUCACCAUUAGAUGCUUUUUGGAAGCACCUUGAAAGGAAAAAGUGUUGUUGGAAGUCAGGAGGACAAACAGGAGUUACUAUAACAGGGUCAUAAGCCUCCUAUAUGAAUUAAAAGUUGUAUGAGAAUAGGAUUCUUCCAUGAGGAAUUGGGAGAAAGGGGUGUUACUGGUCCAUAAAACUUAGAAUUCGGUAGGAAAUAAAGAUUUAAGGGUAGUAAUUUAGGAAAUUACCAAGAGGUUUAUUUACAAUAAUCAGCUAACGUUUGUGGAUUAUUUUUUAUUUGCUAGCCACUAUGUGAACAUGAUGUUAUUUAAUUGUUAUGAGUUGCUAUUUUUCUUUCCAAGGACACUGAGGCUCAAGGCAUUUUUAUAGACUUGUCUAAGAUCUGGUAAGUGCCAGAGCUAGUUUUGGAAUUAGCUUCUGACCACAAAGCUCAUGCUCUUUAACCACUCUAUGAAACAGGCAUUAGAGAAAUAAAGCAGGGGUAAAAAUGGUGGUGUUUGAAUAGCUGUUCUCUUAGAACUGAAAAUCACUUGACAGUUGUCAGGGUGUGAA